AAAGACGCGGGGCAGCAAGUCUGUCGGCUGCUUUGACUCAGAGUGGCCUGGAAGACGUUUGCUGCCAGAGAAGCCUGAUGGUGGUGUUAACAUGGAUCACUGUUCCUUGGUUUGUAAACGUGUUCACCUCUUCAACACCGGAGAUGUCGUUUACCCCUAAUUUCUUUAAGGAGAACUGCAGUUUUUUAUCGUCUGCUGUGAGUGUUCUAUGAACCAUCUUCUUUCUACAACCGGUUCCUUUCCCACCAAUGUGCAUUUGUGCCUGCAGUUUGGAGAGUUUUUCCUGGUUCUUGAUCGUUUCUUUCAUCUGUUCGGAGUGGAGGGGGUCUCAGGCAGACCAGCUGAAAUAAGACACACACAAUCAGGUAAGCAAGAUGGCAGCUAACAAUAGCCUAGAUUUAAAUACAUGUAGCAUGAGCCUACUACACCCAGCAACAACAUCUUUAUCUUCACAACCACACAGUGAGCCAGAGGCUUGGAUUAAGGUCUCCUACCCCUCCCAGCUUCUUAGACCUUGUUCUGGAGAGCACUGGAAUCCAGUAAAGAGUCACCUCAACUUGGAUGGACCAAGUUGGAUAAAUGGUUGGGGUUUUGUUUGUCACUGUAGGAUGGAAGCAGGGUCUCUUGUGGCCCAGGCUGGCCUGAAACUUGCAAAGAAUGACCUUCAACCCCUGCUUAAAUCCUUCAGUCCUCACUACUCAGGUGUGGACCCUACCAGUGUGUCUCAGCAUGCCUGGCUCCAACGCAGGGCUUCAUGCAUGCUAGACACUCACUGUACUGAUUGAACCUCGUCUCGGCCACCCUCGUAGAUUAUUUUAAAAGUACACACACACGCACACGCACACGCACACGCACAGGCAUGGGCACGGGCACACACACAUACUAGCCAGGUACUAGAGAAUAGCUUGCUAAAUACUACAAGUGGAACAGGCUGAUGAUUCAAAUUAUAAACAUCCUCCCUUGAUCUGCAUCAAACAUUAUGAAGUAUAACAGUCCCUGGUCCCCUCUGUCUCAAAGUCAUAACUCUUUGGCAAAGUUUUGUUUUUUACUGUUGGGUCUGUUGGCGUGAAAAGCUUACAUAGUCAGAAGUGAAAAAAUUCACAGGGGAAAUUCUAUGAGCCGGGCCACUGGCUGGAUGCUGGGUUUUAUUUGUCCUAACUCAGAGGCCCAGCUGGGAGGGAAGGUCUACUCCCCGUGACUGACCACCUUCAAGCAAGCUCACAACCACUUUGCCCUGGUUCCUUUCAUAAUCAAAUUGCAAGAGGGCUCUUGGGAGGUCCCCAGAGCCCUUCUUGAAUAGGCUCUGCUGAAGAAACACUGAAUGACUACUUAGCACCCCAAGUUCUGCAGACGUACUGGCGUUCCAACAUGCAGAGGGGUGAACAGCUCUGCUAUUUCAGGCCCUUCUUCUUUGUAAGUCACGGGAAAACAAUUGAGCCCCACCUAAGCGGAAAUUUGAGCAUCAGGCCUGGCUGUACUCAGGUACCAGAAAAAUGGCUCAGCUAGGAAGAGAUGGCUCUUGCAGCAGACCUGGAUUUGGAUCUUACCAUACAUAUCAACUGGCUCCAACUGGCUGUAACUCCAACUCUGGGGAAUCCGAGGCCUUCUGGCUUCCAAGAGAAGCUGCACACGUAUGCAGAUACACACACACACAUAAAUAACAAAUAAAAGAUAUCUUUUUAAAAGGGGGCAAGUGGGCUGGAGAGAUGGCUUGGUGCUAGCUAGAUGCUCUUGCAGAGGACUCAGGCUCUGCUCCCAGCACCCAUGAACCAUGUGGCAGCCCACAGCUGUGUAUAACCUGGGGACCUGCAAAUGCACACAACAAUUCACACAUUGAUUUAAAAAAUUAACUG
rnacentral:lncRNA from 1 species